GGUUGCGAUCAUACCAGCACUAAUGCAACGGAUCCCAUCAGAACUCCGCAGUUAAGCGUGCUUGGGCGAGAGUAGUUCUAGGAUGGGUGACCCCCUGGGAAGUCCUCGUGUUGCAACCC
rnacentral:rRNA from 1 species